GCCAACGAGCCGAACUUGUACUACUUGAAAGAUGGGCCAGAGAGAGGUUUCGUCAGAGCGGAAUUAUUGAUCAUACCAUACAGCACAAUGUUACCCCCCAAGCAAAAUAUUUAACACUUACCUUGCCGAGUGAUCCCAAUAGUAUCCUGUAACCAGCUCAUUCACAUUAAACUGUUUCCUCGAGGUCAACAUGACAUAGAGCUAGCAUAGUGUCAUGUGAUCAGGAAAAACUGGUAUAUACAAUAGCGGGGAGAUAUAAAGGCCUGACAAAAGCUUUACAGAGGCUUUUGUUGAUCUCGGACCGCUACUGUAUAAACUCUUUGUAACUAAGCUGAGUCAAGACAGUCUCUCCCUAAUCUCUCUCAUGUUCGAUCGCGACUGCAUCCAAGGUCGGUAGCUUUUGCGCUUUGUGCUUGUUGCUCUGUCAUUCAACAAGAAAAGCCUUUAAAAGGCAACGUUGGAGGCACCUGGCUAAAUUAAGAAAUUUAGUGAGUAGGGCGUGAGAUGAUUUAGGGUGGGGUGGGGUGAAGCUGAUUUCAAGAGCAUCACGAUGACCAAACAUCCGUCUAUUAGAGACUUGCUUCUAUUAGAGAUCGGUACUAGCAUCGC